rnacentral:tRNA from 1 species
GGGAGGGUAGCUCAGAGGGAGAGCACCAGUCUUAUAAGCUGGCGGGCGCGGGUUCGAAUCCCGCCCCUCCUACCA